UGGGGGGGCGGUCCCUGGGAGGCAGGAGAUACCCGCUCCAGUCCCUUCGCAGAGGCGGGACUGGAACUGGGAUCUCCCACCUCCUGGGCAGGCCAGGACCACAGGGGGCAAAAGAGAGAUCCGAGUUUUAUUAAAAAGCCGAAGAGGCAGCAAAUAAUUUUUCAAAACCCUUUGUCUUACCAGGCACAGGGGGAAUAGAACUCACAGACUCAACCUUCCAAGCCAGCACCUACACCCCUGUGCUAUGGAGGGCUUCACACAGUGAGUGUUUGCUUGGGCCCUAUCAGUAGUUAACGAAAGGGGCCCUACUGCAACAGGAAAGCCCAACGGCCUCUGCUGACCCAGCAAAGCCUCCACCCCAGCGCUCCAAGGAGUGACUUGAGCGCUAGGCCGCACAGGGUGGCUCUCGCGUGGCCAGAGCUAGGGCGCCCACUUGAGACACAGGAAAUCGCAGAAGGGGGCUUGGCCCAGCCUGGCCCACACCCUACCUGAAUAGCCCGUCCACUGUCAGCUCUCACCAUCUCGCAGGGCUGACCGGGGGUCUCUGCUUCAGCGUCACAGAGCUCGGCAGAGGCCGCACAGCAGGCAAGAUGACAGGUUUGCUCCUCGGCGCCUUUGCUCCCAGGGUCCGAGCUGCUGGAGGAGCCCUUGUGCGCGGUGUCUCUGCAUCGUCCUGCACGGCCGGGCAGUGUCGACGAGCAGGUGGUGGUCGGGUCUGGCAGGGUCCCUCAGACAGGCGGCU